AGUGAACGCUGGCGGCAUGCCUUACACAUGCAAGUCGAACGGCAGCACGGGGCAACCUGGUGGCGAGUGGCGAACGGGUGAGUAAUGCAUCGGAACGUACCCAAUCGUGGGGGAUAACGUAGCGAAAGUUACGCUAAUACCGCAUACGAUCUACGGAUGAAAGCGGGGGAUCGCAAGACCUCGCGCGAAUGGAGCGGCCGAUGUCAGAUUAGGUAGUUGGUGGGGUAAAGGCUCACCAAGCCAACGAUCUGUAGCUGGUCUGAGAGGACGACCAGCCACACGGGGACUGAGACACGGCCCAGACUCCUACGGGAGGCAGCAGUGGGGAAUUUUGGACAAUGGGCGCAAGCCUGAUCCAGCCAUUCCGCGUGCAGGAUGAAGGCCUUCGGGUUGUAAACUGCUUUUGUACGGAACGAAACGGCUCUCUCUAAUACAGGGGGCUAAUGACGGUACCGUAAGAAUAAGCACCGGCUAACUACGUGCCAGCCGCCGCCGUAAUAC
rnacentral:rRNA from 1 species